CUUCGCCCUGGGAAAGACGCUCUUUUUGCUCUGAUGUAGAACAGGUACAGCGGCUUAACUGUUCUGACCUCCCUUCCGAUCACAGAUUUAUCACACACUCUCUCUUCACUCUCUGCAGCAUGGACAACAGCUGUCAUGGUUGUUUUGCAGCACAAAAUCUGACUGAAUGGAUCAAGACCAGAAAAUAACGGUAGCCUCAAAUGCUGCCCUUUGUUCAAACCUCCACGGACGGCCCUGAGACUCAUUUACAAUGUCAGUGUGGCCGUAUAUCAGCAGAAGAGAAACAGAGUGGUGGGACUAUAUUUCUCUUGGGAGAUCAAUAAGCCACACCUGCACCAGAUUUACUGUGCAGUGUCAUGAAUUAUGAGCAUAUCAUCUGACUCCUUCUUGGCAUUUUCUCACCUCGACCGGAGUCACAAACAUGACAAAACAAAACAAAGCGGUGACACUUUUAUCUGGUAUUACAGGAAUUUCAUUAGAGACACAUGCUGUGGUGUUGGAGUUCUCACUUUUGAGAAUGCUGCUGAUAAAAGUGAAGCAUGCCAUUUUUUUUUUUU